rnacentral:rRNA from 1 species
UACGGGGGGGCAAGCGUUGUUCGGAAUUACUGGGCGUAAAGGGCUCGUAGGCGGCCAACUAAGUCAGACGUGAAAUCCCCAGGCUCAACCUGGGAACUGCAUUUGUGACUGCAUCGCUGGAGUGCGGCAGAGGGGAUGGAAUUCCGCGUGUAGCAGUGAAAUGCGUAGAUAUGCGGAGGAACACCGAUGGCGAAGGCAAUCCCCUGGGCCUGCACUGACGCUCAUGCACGAAAGCGUGGGGAGCAAACAGG